CCUACGGGUGGCUGCAGUGAGGAAUAUUGGUCAAUGGGCGUAAGCCUGAACCAGCCAAGUCGCGUGAGGGAAGACUGCCCUAUGGGUUGUAAACCUCUUUUACCGGGGGACAAAGGUGUCCACGUGUGGCGGUUUGCAGGUACCGCAUGAAUAAGCACCGGCUAAUUCCGUGCCAGCAGCCGCGGUAAUACGGAAGGUCCGGGCGUUAUCCGGAAUUAUUGGGUUUAAAGGGAGUGUAGGCGGGCCGUUAAGCGUGCCGUGAACUUUGGGGGGUCAACCCUGAGAGAGCAGUGGAAACUGGGGGCCUUGAGUGGGCGAGAGGCAGGCGGAAUGCGUGGUGUAGCGGUGAAAUGCAUAGAUAUCACGAAGAACCCCGAUUGCGAAGGCAGCCUGCCGGAGCGCAACUGACGCUGAAGCACGAAAGCGCGGGUAUCGAACAGGAUUAGAUACCCGAGUAGUC
rnacentral:rRNA from 1 species